rnacentral:lncRNA from 1 species
ACUCGUCCCUAUAGCCUGCUUCCAUACUUGGCGCUGCAACACAAUAUACAUGAUAAUGCAACAACACAUGACAUACUGCUACAACAAACAAGUUGAAGUAGCUGAAACAUCAUAAAACAUAGUAUUGCAACAAAUAACGAACAACUACUGCAACAGCAUGCAAACUACUACUACAACAUACAAAUUGAAGUAUUGGAUAGAACAACUGAAACACCAUGAACAUAGUAUUACAACAACAACGAACGGCUGUUGCAACAACAUGUAACAACUAAUACAACAGCAUAGGUUGAAGCAUUGGAUGGAGUAACCGAAACACCAUGGACAUAGUAUUACAACAACAUCGAACAACUGUUGCAACAACAUGCAACAACUAAUACAACAGUGCAAAUUGAAGCAUUGGAUGGAGCAACUGAAACACCAUGGACAUAGUACUACAACAACACCAAACAACUGUUGUAACAACAUGAAACAAACUACUACAACAUGCAGAAUGAAGCAACUGAAACAACAUCUCAAAAACACAAUACUGCAACAACGACUGAAACCUACUGCAAUGUCUAGAGAGAACCAUUGCAACAAUGACAAAUCUGAAGCCGAGAGCUCGCCGAAACCCUAUCCUACUGCAACAUCACUUGAAAAACAUUACUGCAAACAACCAAAGAACAUCAUUACAACACGCGAGAGCACUGAAUCCCAAGAGCUCGCUGGAACCCUAGCCAACACAACAUCUCAUAGAUCUAGAUCCAGAGGAAGAGGAGGAAGAGGAGGAGCAGAGGAGGGCCUAGAUCCAGAUCCACAAAGAGGAGGGAGGGAAAAGGGAGAGGGAGGCCUUAGAUCCAAAUCCCUCACCACCUACCUCGUCGGAGCCGCGCCGUUGUCUCCAUCUCCAGAUGCAUGGAGGUCAUAAGAGCGAGGGAGAAAGAGCAGGGAGAAAGGGAGUUGCGCCGUUCACUGGAAGUUACCACCGUCGCGCUCUACUCCGGUGGCUUCGAGGGCGCGUGGGUCGCAGCGGGGAAGGAGGUCGCAGCGGGGAGAGAGGUCGCAGCGGGGAGGGAGGGAGAAAAGGAGGGAGGAGCGGCAGGAAGUGCGGACGCAUGGUGGAAGCGACGGGGAGCGGCAGCGAGACGAGAGAAAAGAGUGGGGAGGAAAAGGAUGAGUGGAUAAGAAGGCAUGAAGGAGCAGCGAAAUGAGUGG